AGUAAUACAUCGGAACGUGUCUUCUAGUGGGGGAUAACUGCCCGAAAGGGCAGCUAAUACCGCAUGAGACCUGAGGGUGAAAGCGGGGGAUCGCAAGACCUCGCGCUGGAAGAGCGGCCGAUGUCCGAUUAGCUAGUAGGUGGGGUAACGGCUCACCUAGGCGACGAUCCCUAGCUGGUCUGAGAGGAUGACCAGCCACACUGGAACUGAGACACGGUCCAG
rnacentral:rRNA from 1 species